GAUGAACGCUGGCGGUAUGCUUAACACAUGCAAGUCGAACGGACUCUUCGGAGUUAGUGGCGGACGGGUGAGUAACGCGUGAGAAUCUGGCUUUGGGUUCGGGACAACCACUGGAAACGGUGGCUAAUACCGGAUGUGCCGAGAGGUAAAAGAGAAAUUGCCUGAAGAUGAGCUCGCGUCUGAUUAGCUAGUUGGUGAGGUAAAGGCUCACCAAGGCAGCGAUCAGUAGCUGGUCUGAGAGGAUGACCAGCCACACUGGGACUGAGACACGGCCCAGACUACUACGGGAGGCAGCAGGGGGGAAUUUUCCGCAAUGGGCGAAAGGCUGACGGAGCAAUACCGCGUGAGGGAAGAAGGCUCUUGGGUUGUAAACCUCUUUUCUUAGGGAAGAACAAAAUGACGGUACCUAAGGAAUCAGCAUCGGCUAACUCCGUG
rnacentral:rRNA from 1 species